GAGUUUGAUCUUGGCUCAGAUUGAACGCUGGCGGCAGGCCUAACACGUGCAAGUCGAGCGGAUGACGGGAGCUUGCUCCUUGAUUCAGCGGCGGACGGGUGAGUAAUGCCUAGGAAUCUGCCUGGUAGUGGGGGACAACGUUUCGAAAGGAACGCUAAUACCGCAUACGUCCUACGGGAGAAAGCAGGGGACCUUCGGGCCUUGCGCUAUCAGAUGAGCCUAGGUCGGAUUAGCUAGUUGGUGGGGUAAUGGCUCACCAAGGCGACGAUCCGUAACUGGUCUGAGAGGAUGAUCAGUCACACUGGAACUUAGACACGGUCCAGACUCCUACCGGGAGGCAGCAGUGGGGAAUAUUGGACAAUGGGCGAAAGCCUGAUCCAGCCAUGCCGCGUGUGUGAAGAAGGUCUUCGGAUUGUAAAGCACUUUAAGUUGGGAGGAAGGGCAGUAAGUUAAUACCUUGCUGUUUGACGUUACCGACAGAAUAAG
rnacentral:rRNA from 1 species